AGUAGUUGAUCCUGGCUCAGAACGAACGCUGGCGGCAGGCCUAACACAUGCAAGUUGAACGGGAUUGACGGAUAGCUUGCUAUUUGUCAUGAGAGUAGCGCACUGGUGAGUAACACGUGGGAACAUACCUUUUAGUGGGGGACAACAGGGGGAAACUUCUGCUAAUACCGCAUAAACCCUGAGGGGGAAAGGAGCAAUUCGCUAAAAGAUUGGCCCGCGGAAGAUUAGGUAGUUGGUGAGGUAAAGGCCCACCAAGCCUACGAUCUAUAGCUGGUCUGAGAGGACGAACAGCCACAUUGGAACUGAGACACGGUCCAGACUCC
rnacentral:rRNA from 1 species